rnacentral:rRNA from 1 species
UACGUAGGUGGCAAGCGUUGUCCGGAUUUAUUGGGUUUAAAGGGUGCGUAGGCGGCCCUGUAAGUCAGUGCUGAAAUAUCCCGGCUUAACCGGGAGGGUGGCAUUGAUACUGCGGGGCUAGAGUACAGAUGAGGUAGGCGGAGUUGACGGUGUAGCGGUGAAAUGCGUAGAUAUCUGGAGGAACACCGGUGGCGAAGGCGGCAUUCUGGACCGGCAUUGACGCUGAGGCGCGAAAGCCAGGGGAGCAAACGGG